rnacentral:rRNA from 1 species
GCCGAACGCUGGCGGCGUGCUUAACACAUGCAAGUCGAACGGUAAGGCCCUUCGGGGUACACGAGUGGCGAACGGGUGAGUAACACGUGGGUGAUCUGCCCUGCACUUCGGGAUAAGCCUGGGAAACUGGGUCUAAUAGCGGAUAGGACAACUGCCUGCAUGGGCGGUGGGGGAAAGCUUUUGCGGUGUGGGAUGGGCCCGCGGCCUAUCAGCUUGUUGGUGGGGUGAUGGCGUACCAAGGCGACGACGGGUAGCCGGCCUGAGAGGGUGACCGGCCACACUGGGACUGAGAUACGGCCCAGACUCCUACGGGAGGCAGCAGUGGGGAAUAUUGCACAAUGGGCGCAAGCCUGAUGCAGCGACGCCGCGUGAGGGAUGACGGCCUUCGGGUUGUAAACCUCUUUCAGCACCGACGAAGCGCAAGUGACGGUAGGUGCAGAAGAAGGACCGGCCAACUACGUGCCAGCAGCCGCAGUAA